UUUGUAUCUGAAUCAAUUUAUUAAAUGCAUAUUUAAGUAAACAUAUCAAAUUGUUUAUAUUACCAUUUUGUUAGUUAUAUUUUAUAUUUAAUAUGGUCUGUUUCUUAUUUUUAAAUUCCUUCUUUCAAUGACAUUCCAGACUUUUAUGUUUUGUAUACUUAUCACACUUUACUUAUUGUACAUGAUUCAGCAAAUCAAAAGUAGGCUUUUUUUAAAAUACAGUUUUUUAUAAUUUUGUUAUAAUCUUCCAAUGGUAUUUUUGAAAGCAGUAGGUCCGGUAAGGGCCGAUUUUGGCCUAAAAUUUCAGGUUCAUCUAACGAAAGAUUUUGGACACUUUUUAAACACUUAAGUGUCUAUUUCAAUUGAUUUAAUUAGUUUAUGUGAAAGAUUUUCACUGAUUUAGUCAUUAAAAACACUCCGAUUCGAGCUUAAGGUGGUAUGGGUGUCUUCCUCCAUCUUGGAUUGUAAAAAACAGAGAACCAAAGGUCCAGAUUUUCUAUCAAGUUAGCAAUAUUUGAUGCAGGAAUGCAGAUAUUUAAUGUGAAUUUUCAUUUAAAAGAACCAAUUUAUAAGAAUAUAACUUAUAAAUAUUGAUAUUUUUGCAAAUGAUGAUUGUUUUUGGUUGUUUUUAAAAAUAAAUUAAAUUGGCAUUUUAAGGGAGGUAACUCUAAACAGAGCAUUUUCUGAAGGAUUCUACAUGGAAUUUUCCUAGUUUGUAUUUUAGCCGGAAAAAAGGUACGGUGACCCUAUCUUUUCUUUUGAUAUUCUCAAAGCAUUGUCUGAAAGCUAUCUUUUCCUUAAGUAUUUAACAAUUCUAUCAUUUUGUUUAGUUUUCUAAUCACAAAUUGUGUUUUUUCCUGUAUAAUCCAUACAAAAUGUGUCAUUUUGUCACGCCCUGUAGCUUGAGAAAAUGCACGGUGACCUAUCAUUUUUAUAACAUUUUUCAACAUAUAUCAAUAGAUACUAGGUUUUGGCAAAGUAUGAACAAAUUCUAUCAUUUUUAUUUUAGACUCCAAUACCACCUUAAAUAUGAAAAAUCUAUCAAAUAGCCAAAAAAACGUCACUUUUCAGAUGUUUUUUGUCAAAAAUGAAAGUGGCCGCAUCCAUGUUCAUCCUCAACCUUUAUAUAUGUUAUGUAUUAUCGUCAAAUACAACUUGCAUUUCAAUAUUAUGAAUGAACACGAAUGCGGCCACUUUCAUUUAAGACAUAAAUCAUCUAAAAUUUAAUUAAAAUGCUAAAAUUGCAAAGAUUUCAGUAAUUAAGCAUGACUUAAUGAUACUAGUACCAGAUAUAUGUGCAUUAUAUUCUCAAAAACUGCCCAUAUUUAUGUAGCAUUCUACUUUCCAGUAAAUAGCUUAAAGAUUACAUUUUGAUAAUUUUGUAAAACUGCUAUAUUUUGGGGCCAAAAACGGAUCUUACUGAACCUACUCCUUUGUUUGUUUAUUUUGUAUAACGAUAGUUGAUGUAUUGAAGAAAAUUUUUUGAAUUGCUUUGUCAUUAAUUUAUUAACAUUUUUAAAAAGAACUGAAUUGAUAUUUUUGUUUUUGGUCAGUCUAAUAGACUAUAAUCAUAAUAACUACUUAUGACAUUAACCUAUAGUAAAUGAGUUAAAGGUUUGGAUAUGGAAUUUUUAUGCCCCACCUAUGAUAGUAGAGGGGCAUUAUGUUUUCUAGUCUGUGCGUCCGUUUGUUUUUCCGUUUGUUCCACUUCAGGCUACAGUUUUUGGUCAAGGUAACUUGUGAUGAAGUUGAAGUCUAAUCAAAUUCAAAUAUAAUACACAUGUUCCCCAUGUUAUGAUCUUUCUAAUUUUAAUGUUAAAUUAAAGUUUUGACCCCAAUUUUACAGUCCAAUGAACAUAGAAAAUGAUAUUGCAAAGUUCAGGUUAAAGUUUUUGUUCAAGGUAGUUUUUGAUGAAGUUAAAGUCCAUUCAACUUGAAACUUAGUACACUUCUUCCCCAUGAUAUGUUCUUUCUAAUUUAAAUGCUAAAUUUAAGUUUUGACCCCAAUUUCAUGGUCCACUGAACAUGGAAAAUGAUAGUGCGAGUGGGGCAUCUGUGUACUAUGGACACAUUCCUGUUCUGAAUAGUAUUAUACAAAAAACAAUGCAGUUAGUUUUAUAAUGACCAAAUAUAUGAAAACUUCUUCAGGUUGUGUUUUCCUACUGUUAAAUGAAAAUUUUGAACAUAUUUUUUUACAUUUUACAUUUAUCAAUUGUACAUAAAUUUAUUUUAAUCAACAUAUUGCAUUAACAAAAG
rnacentral:lncRNA from 1 species